CUCGUAGGUGGUUCGUUACGUCGGAUGUGAAACUCUGGGGCUCAACCCCAGACCUGCAUUCGAUACGGGCGAACUAGAGUGUGGUAGGGGAGACUGGAAUUCCUGGUGUAGCGGUGGAAUGCGCAGAUAUCAGGAGGAACACCGAUGGCGAAGGCAGGUCUCUGGGCCAUUACUGACACUGAGGAGCGAAAGCGUGGGGAGCGAACA
rnacentral:rRNA from 1 species